UCUGUUUCUCACCCCUGCCAAUAUCACUCACUCACUCAUCCAUUCUCCCCCUCCCACGCCAUCGCAGCUUGAGGAGAACAGCCGGCUCAAGGAGGAGCUGAUGCGCAAGACCCGGGAGCUCGACAGAAUCAUACAGACAUAGUAGAAACUGGCAAAUGCAAGUGGAAGCUACCGAGGUGUGCAGUGGUGUUAAGAAGACUCAGGGAUAUGAUUAGUAUUAGGUUUUGAAAUGUAUCUGGAAGGUCAUCCCUUUGAUCUUCUGGUCAUAUAAGGGUGAGGUGUAAUGGUUAGUCAUCAACGCUUUGAUCUUCUGGUACGUAGAAACUAUCAAACUGCAGCAUUUGGCAAAGGUUUGUAGAGGGAAUAUUGACAAUACUAAUAUCUCUUUAGGUUUUAAGCAACACAUGGCUUAUUCAUCACGGCAAAACUAUCUAUAGAACUAAAAAAUGAUGCGGACAAUUGAAAAAUCAAAAGGUCAUGGAUAUCUUCAUCUUCUUGGUCUAUGCAUUUAUUAUUGUGGCAUUUAGAUGCUUAUUUCGUUGGUAUUCCAUACUUCACUUUGCACCAUCACUUGAUAGUUGAUACUACUAUAUACCACGAAAAAUGCAUCCCCAUUUUCCUUUUCAGCAAUGUUUAAUGUUUGUAUCUUAAUCCUUUUUAUGUCUUUUUUUAGAAGACAUGUGCAAUAUGUUUGACCAUAAUGAAACCAGGUCAAGGCCAUCCUCUAUUCACGGCAAAGUGCUCACUUACCUUUCACUUUCAUUGUAUAUCUGCAAAUGUUAGGCAUGGACAACCUAAAUAAUUUGAUUAUGAGUAUAUUCUGGUUUCUUCUGCUUUGGAUGAAAUUAUGAUUUUAUAGGCCCAAAUAAUUUUACUUCAAGAUUCUCAGCUGUCCAAUCACCCAUAAACUUUGAGGUGGGAUUUCUCUUAAUUUUGUUUUAGAGGUGUACUUAUUUAGAGCAUUUAUGUCUUCGUCUCACAUCAUACCUACAAGAAGUGAGUUUCUCUUAAUUACAUGAGAGUAAACAACAGAUGAUUGAAUACAUGGUUGAGUAUGGUUGUAAUCAAGCAGCUGUAGUUUACAUAUGAAGAUGCAAUUUUUCUUUUCAUGUACGAGAAAGAACACCAGCUAGAACUGGCAUGUCUCUUUCAUGAGAUGUUUAUAUGUUAUGUUCCUUUCCACUAACAUGAAAUUAAUUGUCUUGUCCUAAUUAUUUUGUACCAGGAAUUUCAGCUAGAACAUAGAAGUCAUUAAACCUUGAGGAAAGAAUUGUGUGUGUUGCAAUUGCAACUGGAUAAUACGUGCGAGCCGGAUGUAUCGUCAGCCUGCAAUACAUGAUAUGCACACGUGUCACCAUUGGUUCAGCAUUUAUUGGAUGGACAACAACAUAACCACAAUAAUAGAUCUAUCAGUUUCAGACCCCUCCUUGCUACUCUGCGUACUGUUUCUCAGUAACAACACCAAUGCCAUACAAAAGCAGUAGUAGAUUAAAUGGGAAGCGAUUGGAGGCAGGACUCUGGUAGCGGCCACCUUGGCUGGCAGCAGGUGCGCUUGUGCUGCCACUUGAGCCUGGCCCUGGCUGAUGUGGCGUCUUCACCGGUAUUCCACAGGGACACACGUAUACAGUGUAUUUUUGUUUCCAGUAGUAAUUGUUCAAGUGGAAGUCCGAUGAAGUGACAUAAAUGGUUGAGCAAUAUACAUGUGGCGCUACUACUGAAUUAGGAGAAAGAUAAAUUUACCGGGUGCAUUUAGAAAGGUGCCCUGUCUCAAAAUAGGGAAUGAUAUGUAGAGAAGUGUUUCCAUAAAUAGAGUGUCACAUUUUUGUUGCUAAAAUACAUAUAAGAACAGAUUCACUGUCACAUCUUUGUAGCAUGGAUGGUUGUUCAUUAACACAAGUGUAAUAUUAAUCAGAUUUUUAAUCUCCUAAAGCAAGAAGAGUAUUUCGGUGGAGCAUAAUUUAUGAAGGCAAGCUUAGUUGUGUGAUUAAAAAACCUGAAUUUUCUUAGCAAUUACUCCCUUUUUAAACUAAUAUAAGAUCAUUUAGAUCACUACUUUAGUGUUCUAAAAGAUCUUAUAUUAGUUUACAGAGGGAGUACUCAAUUAUUAUGUAACACUUGAUUUUCUCCAUCUACAACUGUGUUCUGUUUUUUUUACACUGGUGUACUGUUUUUCUUAUUAAUCUUUUGAAAAAAAUAGUCUUUAAUGAUUUGGAGCAGCCUGGUUGGGUGUGACGUUUCCGAGUGGCCAAGCAAGAGCUUUUUUUUUGUCUAAUACCUCUGCAGUGGCAACUUCUGGUACAAUCUGCAUCAACACUAGAACCACGUUCCCUACCAUGGAUGCUGUCGUGUCUCUCGCCGGCUCUAUCCUUGCCAUCGCCGGGAGGGUUGUGCAGGCCACUGCUUGCGCAACUACUCUGCAUGUGGACCAUGCCAUCGAGAUAGACAAAAAGGGAAACAUCGUCGACCACAAUGCUGAUGGGGCCCUCCCUGGUUGCCAACACCGCUGCUGCUGUCAUCGCCCUCCCCGCUGCCCCACUACACACUGCCAGAUAGGUCUGUAUGCUUCACCCUCGCUCCCUGCUUAUUGCACUCAGGAUGUGUUGGUGCCAUGCUUUGCCUAUUUGUAAUCUCCUUCUAUUCUGUUGUACAAUUCUUUUUGCUUAUGAUUUCUUAUUGUAGUGUGAAAUUUAAUUGCUUGGGUCGUCACUGCUACGAAAAUAUAUUUCUAUAUUUUAGGUCUGUUACUUUAAUCUCUCUUUCUCUCUGUUUAUAAUGAUAUGAACUUCCAUGUUGCUGCAAGAUUGAAAAGAUUCUUUUCGAACAUAAUCUGUGUCAUGAGGGCUGAGUUACGUGUGGCUAUGAUAUCUUUUAAUUUUGGUGAUCUGUGUUUUACAAAAGUUCCAAUAUAUAUAUAUAUAUAUAUUUAUUUAUUUUUCAUCCUUAUCAGAAUAAGGAUGCACCUUAAAUUAUAUGCAAUUUUCAAGACCAUCAUUUGGAAUUUUAUGCAGUUUCUUUUGAUGAAAAUAUUUAGUUUGUUGUAUAAUAAGGAUGCUUUUAGUUAAUAACCCUUCAAUACAUUGGAGUUUAUAAAAGGUUUCCUCAUAAGAACUUGACAGCUCCGUGGCAGUGCCUCAACUGCGUGUGAUAACUGGUAAAUAAGCUAUUCUCCAAAAUAAGAUUGUUGCUUAAUCUGCUUACCACCUUAUUUCAAAUCAUCUUGCUGUGGUCACGUGAAAGGAUGGUGUCCGUGAUCUAUAUCAUGGAAAAUAUUUCCUGGAAUGCCUCUAGGUACCUCCAUAUCUGCUCCCUCCCUACCCUCUCCAUUCUAUCCCCAUAUAUAUAUAAAGGUUCCAAGUGUAGUAAUCUGGCGUGACACGUACAUAAUCAGAGGAUGGGUCUAGGUUUAAUGCUCUAUUUUCUACUCACAACCAGUAGAUGAGAAACCAUGUAGAAGAUGUGGCAUUGAUGAAGUAGAUUUAAAGAUCAAGUUCUUUCUGGAAUUUUAAUUUGAGGAUUAACGCAGUUGAGUUGGUUAAUUAUCGUACUUGCAUCUCGCCUCCAUGCACGUAAUUUUAAUGGGGUUAGUAUGCUUUGUACAGACCCAAGAACAAUUCCUUAUAACGCUCACCAUUUGUGCACUUCUUUUGGUCUUGGACAAAGGGUAUGUGGAAGACUGGAUUUGAUAUUAUCCUGGAAUGGCAACUGUUGGUGUGCAACUGAAGAAUAUAUUUCAUGACCGAGAGAUGGUAUUUGGAGAAUCUUAGUUUUGAUAUGUACAUGAAUCUUCUUUUAUUUUGUCGCACAACUGAAGAUAUGGGACUAUUUGCUCUGUGUAUCUCUUAUAAAUAAGGAAAUGGACUAUAGGUAAAAAAAUUCUAUUUUAAUUAUAUUAUGUUGUA